AACGCAAAUGGCGCUCUCGGGAUAGGCCCGAGAGCACGCCUCUUUGAGUAUCGAUUCCACCACAUCCAGUUAACAUGCUGGGAUAUUGAGUGAUCAACACUUGUUUAAAGCUGUUGUCACUUGAAGUGAAAAGAGAUUCGAAGAGCCUCUUGGUUGACUCUGAACUGAGUCUAGACGAAUGAGGGUUUCAUUUAAGUGGACCAACACUGUCUAAAGAGCGAGACGUGGAUAAUAUCCAAUACGUAGCGCACUUUUAAUAGUGAGGGUCGGGCUUGGGUGGUCGAAGCCAGUACUUCGGGCCUUCAAUUGUCGAAAGCCAGUUGGUUUAUCAGUCUCCAAACCAAAACUUAAACUUAGAAUUAGAUCUCAAAUGAAGCGAGAAUACCCGCUGAACUUAA
rnacentral:misc_RNA from 1 species